GUCUUCUGCAUAAUUAAUGGUGAUCUUCCCUUCGUGAGAUAUGAUAAUUCGCGUUGGGAAACCCCAUCAAUAAUUAAUAUUGUUCUGUCUUAGAAUUAGUGUGCCGUCAGAGAAGGUUUUGCUUUUUUAUCUGGUUGGCCAUGACAGAUCCUGGAAUAUUUUCAGUGUUUCGUAUUUUUCUAUGCAUUUAUUACUUCUUAUGGCUCUCAGAAUUUGCGACUUAAUUU